UCCAAUGUGGGUUUCCUGUAUAGAUUGGAAGGGAUAAUGGGAUCUCUAUGGCGUCUGUGUGGGGUCUAUGCAGGGUUAUGGGGUCUCUAUGGGGUCUUGCAGUGUCUAAGGGGGGACGAGCGUGCAAAGGGGCGUGCAAAGGGCGUGCAAGACUGCAGGUGACAGGUUCAGUGUGGGUUUUUCAUACAGGUUGGAAGGGAUAAUGGGAUCUCUAUGGCGUCUGUGGGGGGUUAUGGGGUUCUAUGGGGUUUUGGGGUAUUUAAGGUGGGAUGAGCGUGCAAAGGGUCGUGCAAGGCGUGCAAGGGGCGUGCAAGACAGCAGGUGACGGGUUCAGUGUGGGUUUCCUGUAUAGAUUGGAAGGGAUAAUGGGAUCUUUAUGGGGUCUGUGUGGGGUCUGUGUGGGGUUAUGGGGUCUCGAUGGGGUUUGGGGGUAUGUAAAGUGGGACGAGCGUGCAAAGGGGCGUGCAAGGCGUGCAAGAGGCGUGCGAGAAUGAAAUAUUCAGGGAGUCCAGGAGGAUUUUCCUUAUGGGUUGGAAGGGAUAAUGGGGUCUCUAUGGGGUCUAUGCGGGGUGAUGGGGUCUCUAUGGGGUCUUGGGGUGUCUAAGGGGGGACGAGUGUGCAAAGGGGCGUGCAAGGCAUGCAAGGGGCGUGCAAGAAUACAAGUUCUUUGGUUUCAGUGUGGGUUUCCUGUAUAAAUAGGAAGAGAUUAUGGGGUUUCUAUGGGGUCUAUGUGGGGUUAUGGGGUCUCGAUGGGGUCUUGGGGUGCAUAAGUGGGGAUGAGAGUGCAAAGGGGCGUGCAAGGCGUGCAAAGGGGCGUGCGAGAAUGAAAUAUUCAGGGAGUCCAGGAGAAUUUUCCUUACGGGUUGGAAGGGAUAAUGGGGUCUCUAUGGGGUCUAUGCGGGGUGAUGGGGUCUCUAUGAUGUCUUGGGGUGUCUGUGGUGGGACGAGCGUGCAAAGGGGCGUGCAAGACGUGCAAGGGGCGUGCAAGACAGCAAGUUUCAGGAAUUCAAUGUGGGUUUCCUGUAUAGAUUGCAAGGGAUAAUGGGGUUUCUAUGGGGUCUGUGUGGGGUUAUGGGGCCUUGAUGAGAUUAUGGGGUGUCUAUGGGGGAACGAGCGUGCAAAGGGGCGUGCAAGGCGUGCAAGGGGCGUGCAAAAAUGAAGUAAACAGGGAGUCCAGGAGGAUUUUCCUGACGCGUUGGAAGGGAUAAUGGGGUCUCUAUGGGGUCUAUGCGGGGUGAUGGGGUCUCGAUGGGGUCUCGGGGUGCAUAAGUGGGGAUGAGCGUGCAAAGGGGCGUGCAAGGCGUGCAAAGGGGUGUGCAAGAAUACAACUUGUAUGGUUUCAAU
rnacentral:lncRNA from 1 species